GGAAUCUUGCGCAAUGGGCGAAAGCCUGACGCAGCAACGCCGCGUGGGUGAUGAAGGCCUUCGGGUCGUAAAACCCUGUCGGGUGGGAAGAACAGGUGGCGGGCCAAUACCCCGUCGCCUUGACUGUACCACCAAAGGAAGCCCCGGCUAACUCCGUUCCAGCAGCCGCGGUAAUACGGAGGGGGCCAGCGUUGUUCGGAAUUAUUGGGCGUAAAGGGCGCGUAGGCGGCCGUGCAAGUCAGUUGUGAAAUCCCCUGGCUUACCCAGGGAACUGCUUCUGAAACUGCAUGGCUUGAGUCCGGGAGAGGAGAGUGGAAUUCCCAGUGUAGCGGUGGAAUGCGUAGAUAUUGGGAGGAACACCAGUGGCGAAGGCGGCUCUCUGGACCGGUACUGACGCUGAGGCGCGAAAGCUAGGGGAGCAAAC
rnacentral:rRNA from 1 species